GACUACCGAUAAAAUUUUCCAACGUGUGAAGAUAACUGAGGACCGUCUCUCUCAGGAAUGGCAUCAUCACUUGUGCUCGCUAGAGGUUGUAAGCAUUGGUGAGAGGACAUAUGUGCAACAUCUUGUGUGUUACCGCUUCUCGGUGCGGCUGCAACAUUUAAUCAAUACAAACAUGCCUUGUGCUCCUUUGAUUCAUAAAAUGCUGGAUGUCUCGCUAAUCUGAGCCAGAGAGGAACAUAUAUUUGCAGCUGACCUUUGACUGGAAGGCGUGGAAGAUCGCUGUACUUGCUUUGCAGUUGAGGAGUACAAAACCAGUAAUGCAAAUGUUCAGUUUCUGGCAUGCAAAUCGGCAGGCGAGGUGGUAGCACACCUGCCUGUUCAGUGCCCAACACAUCAUGCGUGCAGAGGAAGCAAGCAGAGGGUGAUCCUGGUGUAGUUCUCCACAAACAAGGAUUCCUCCAAAGAGAAGCCUCCUUUCCUCCAGGUGUUGGCGUGGAUGCGUGCGAGAAGAGGAUGACAGGCGUGCGCGGCUGGUUGUACGCAAUUAGCACCUGCUAG
rnacentral:lncRNA from 1 species